UACUACAGGAGCAGCUUUUGUUGUUCAGAGGUGGAAUGUCCAAGCUUUUAAGAGAACAUCAAAUUUCCUAAGUGUGUUCACAGUGGAAUUAUAUGCAAUCCUGAUGGCAGUACAAUGGACUGAGCAGAUUCGGAACCAUAAAGUGUUAAUAUGUAGUGACUUUGUGUCAGCUAUCAAUAGUAUAGGGAAAGGGUCAUCAAAGAGUCGACAAGACCUUGUGUAUGAUAUUCUUCUGGCAAUUAGAGAUGUGAAAAGGAGAGGGGUAGAAAUAUAAUUUGUAUGGGUCCCAGCCCAUGUAGGUAUUGCAUCAAAUGAAAAGGUUGAUAAAUUGGCCAAGGAAGCUGCUCAAAAGGAGACUAUAGAUGUAAACCUAAAUCUAUCUAAGGUGGAGGGCAAAAGUAUAGUAUGGCAGGAAACAAUUUUAAAAUGGCAACAGUUUUGGGAGCAAGAAAUCAAAGGGAGACACCUAUUCUCACUUUCUAGUAGGGCAACUGACUCAGUUAAUAUUUAUAAUAGAGGGGGGAUUAGUCGUAAGGAACAAAUUAUUAUUUCUAGAAUGAGGAUUGGGCACACGUUUUUUGAAUAGCACUUUAUUUAUUUUAGGAAAACAUCAGAGUUGCUUGUGUUCAUGUUUGGAACCUGAGACAGUGGAACAUGUUGAUUUCGUGUAGAAAAUAUGACCUUCAAAGACAAGAUCUAUUCAGAGAAUUGCGACAAAUUGGUUUGGAAGAAAUAUCUCUGAAAGCUAUUUUAGAAGUGGGGUGUUUUUAAAUUUUUAAUAGACACUGGACUGUAUAAAAGGAUGUAGUGCAAUAGUGUAAUAGAUCCAUAGAUGGCAGCAAUCCAACUUAUUGGAUACUGGCUGCCGUACAAUCCCAUAGAAGAAGAAGAAGAAACGUACACAUUAGCUGUGUCCCAAAGUUAAGUGCACGGACUCCGAAGUGCGCAUUUGAAGUGCGAAUGCGUCACAGUGGCGCGACGAAGGGUGUCCCAAACUGAAGUGUGUGGACUCCGAAGUGCGGAUGUGAAGUGCGAUUGCGUCACAGCUUCGCGACGUAAGCUGUCCCAAAGUCAGAAUGCGCACUUCGAAGACCGCAUUUGAAGUGCGAAUGCGUCACCGCGGCGCGACGAAGACUGACGAGUUUCGAAAGCGACUUCAAAUGCGCCCUUCAUUUCCCAUGAAAAUUAAGUGUACAUCUAAUGGACACUUCGCACCCUUCCAUAUCCCAGAAUCACUUGCGCGCAUAUGACGAAGGUGUUUAUAUUCAGAGGCAGGUGAGAGUUCUGUUGGGGAAUUCACAUUGAAAUGCAUGGUUUAUUUGUGAAGUGUCCUGAGACAGGUGAGGGAGCGAGUGGACAGGGAGGACAUCAAACUCAAACAAAUACAUUCUUCAUUAGCCAAGAGAAAACAGUGGGGAAAAAAUUAGUACAUUACAGUUUUUCCCAAUAUAUUUUUUAAAUGUCAUAUUGUCAAUGAAACAACCUAAUUUCUGUAGUUUAUUUUUGUGACGCAAGUUAAAAAUGAUAUGCAUAAAUUGUAUACAUUAUUCAUUUUUAGUGUGUAAUUUAUUCGUAUAUAAGCCUGAGUACUUUCUGUACAUUUUGUAUUUUUGUUUUGCAUAUUCACAUGUGUAAAUAAAAGAAAAGUGCUUAUGUACAUUGUUAUUUUUUUUUUAAUGUAGCUUAUAAUUUUUUUCACAAAACAUUCUUUUAAUGUUUAUUUGUUUGUCCUGUAAAUACUGUUUUACACAUUAAAACAAAUAGUUCUAUACAUAACAGAAAGUACUUUUUACAACCAUUUACAACAUAUCUUAGGUUUAACAUCAGAAAACAACAUCAGUUUGAGCUCAGCCCUGCCUCCAUGUGUUCUGGGGUCUUCAGGAGGUCAAUCUCUUGGUGAAUGGCCAGCGCUUCCUCAGAGACUCGG
ensembl:lncRNA